CCUAAUGUUUGUGUAUAUAAUUGGGAGUGCUUAUUGGAUACCAGGUACUUUAUAUACAUUAUUUAAAGUUCUAUCUCUGUAAGCAAGUAUUGCUCACUUUUUUUUCAGUGAUAAACUCAGGCUUAAGAAACUAAUACAGUUAAUAGGCGGUAGCAUUGGGAUUUGCAAACUCAUUUUGAUUCCAAAGCCUGUGGUUUUAACUCCUAAAUCCAGGUGCACGUGGGACUCACCUGAAGGCGUUUUUAACUUUUAGAUUUCUAAGCCAUCUUCAGAUCAUGAGUCAGAUUUGGUAACACACGAGGUAACUUGUCAGCUGGCACUUACUGGUGGUUUUUGAAAACUGGGACUGUGCUACAUUACUUUAGCAGUGAGACCAAGAAUUAAAAGUAGGAGCAAGAAUGGUAUUGACAGGGGCCAACCACAGCACGUAAGCUUCCCUGGUAGCUCAUCCACCUGCAAUGCAGGAGACCCCCUCAGCUCCUGGGUUGCAGAAGGGAACAGCUACCCAUUCCAGUAGAAUUGCCUGGAGAAUUCCAUAGACUAUAGAUAGAGUCCAUGGGGUUGCAAAGAGUCAGACAAUGGCUCAACCACAAAGCUAUACACUAGUUGGUUAAGUAACACGAUUACAGAACAGGUAUUCCUUUGGGCUAAUGUAUUUGGUGCUUGCUUUAGGCCAGUCACUGUGGAUGAGCCACUCAUUUCAUUCUCAUUUCAUUCUUAUUCUCAAGGUAGCCUCAUGGGGCAAAUACUAAUUUCCAUUUUACAAAUGAGGGAAGUAGGUUUAAAUAACUGGUAUGAAGGAACUGGGAUUCAAAGCCAGGUGCCCCUGAGCUUAUGCUUUUAGCCACUAUGUCAUACAAACCUUACUUGGUCUGUAGAUGGCCACUUAACCCUGGAUUAAAAAUUGACUUAAAACUUGUCAAAGAUAGGCAACAUUUAAGGGCACACUUGACUGAUUCUAAUUAACUGUGUAGUUCAUAGAAGAAUAUGACACCUUUGAAAUUCUAGAUAUUUCUCCAUAUAAUAAAACAGGCUCGUGAAGUUUUAUAGAAGAAAACCUCCACAGUAAAUAUGAAUAUCUCAAUUACUUUAUAAAGUAGUGGUUAGAAGUAGUGGUUUUGGAAUCAUCAGACUUGAAUACAAAUCCUGUAACUUGCAUGUCGCUUUAGGCAAGUACUUAAGUUAGUUCCCUUACCUAACUUAGAAAGGAUCUAACAGUAUCUUAUCAGACAGCAUU
ensembl:lncRNA